rnacentral:rRNA from 1 species
UACGUAGGGGGCAAGCGUUGUCCGGAUUUAUUGGGCGUAAAGAGCGUGUAGGCGGUUAGGUAGGUCCGUUGUGAAAACUCGAGGCUCAACCUCGAGACGCCGAUGGAAACCAUCUGACUAGAGUCCGGAAGAGGAGAGUGGAAUUCCUGGUGUAGCGGUGAAAUGCGCAGAUAUCAGGAAGAACACCCGUGGCUAAGGCGGCUCUCUAGUACGGUACUGACGCUGAGGCACGAAGGCCAGGGGAGCAAACGGG